GGGCACAUCCCAUUGACUUGCUUGUCUGAGCAAUGUUGUUUCUCAGGAGCUGCAUAAUAGUUGAAGAUUGAUCAGCAGUAGAAAUGAAGGAUAAAACUGCCAGUGUCCUUCAGACAGGU
rnacentral:snoRNA from 1 species